rnacentral:rRNA from 1 species
AUUGAACGCUGGCGGAAUGCUUAACACAUGCAAGUCGAGCGGGGUGUAGCAAUACACCUAGCGGCGGACGGGUGAGGAAUACAUAGGAACCUGCCUCAGAGCGGGGGACAGCCCGGGGAAACCCGGAUUAAUACCGCAUGAUGUCGCAAGACCAAAGUGGGGGACCGCAAGGCCCCACACUCUGAGAUGAGCCUAUGUCCGAUUAGCUAGUUGGCGGGGUAAUAGCCCACCAAGGCGACGAUCGGUAGCUGGUCUGAGAGGACGAUCAGCCACACCGGAACUGAGACACGGUCCGGACUCCUACGGGAGGCAGCAGUGGGGAAUAUUGGACAAUGGGCGCAAGCCUGAUCCAGCAAUUCCGCGUGGGUGAAGAAGG